GCCAGACACCAUGCAAAAGUAAAGUUUUCCCUUUAAAAUGGUAUGAUAGUAUGCUAAGUUUUUUCAUAGCAUGCUGUUGUUAAAAAGAGGAUACAAAU
ensembl:snoRNA